UUUGUUGUGUGUGUGUGUAUAUAUAUAUUUUUUCUAAUGUAUUUAAAACUAGUUUGAAGUGCAAAUGGAAAGAGUCCCUUUUUAGCCUUUCCUCUAUGAAAAGAAAAGCAGCUUCUUGGUUAGAUUCCAGGCUAUGAGUCCCACCUCCACUUUGAGCUCUUUGAACCUUUUUCUACUGCUUUUAUUAAUGUCUUCUGCUUCACGCCAUCAUCAUGGUAUACAAAGAAUGUGUCCCUUUGAGUUUUAAACCUUCCUUUCAAGUGCAAUAUCCUCCCAGUGCCUGGCCUGGCCAUGGCAUUUUGGACUUUUGUUCUUAUUGUUGGGGUAACAGCAAUAGUGCUUACGAACUUAGGCAUAAAGCAUGACCUAGUGGUGAUAAUGAACCCUGAGUCUAAGAGCGGUGUUUAAAUCAUUCAGGUCGAUCAACCUUAACUGAUGAGUACCUGAGGAACUGGUGACAUUGAGGGACUGGUGUCCAUCUUAGGCCACUAGACUCACCAUCCUAAGAGGAGGGAUUGAAGCCAUCUACUGAAGAGUUUUUGCCUGACCUAAUAAUAAAGUUAAAGCUUUCCUUCUGGAAAUGAUACUAAAACAGAGCUUUCCUCGUCAAAAAUGACUAAUGUUUUCAUGAACUUGGUUGAGACUGUGUUUUCGUGUUAGAACUCAGUGCCCUUAACCUACACACAUUCUCGUGUCUGCGUUCUUCCAGCCCACCUUAUAAAGGAGGUGGGAACCAGGUUCUUAUAAUUCUUUAGAGUAACAGCACACAAGGAUCACAUACAUUGUCUCUGAUGAAUUCUAAUUUUUCCAUUUGCAGAAGAAGAAAUCUAGAGUCAAAAAGAUGGUUUUCCUGAAGGUUUACACACUGAGUCCAUGAUGCUGGGGGCAAAGGUCUCUUACAGGGUUACUUGUUUCUUAGGGACCAUGGAUAGUAGUGACUCCUGAACCUGCAGUCAGCAUAAUGGUCACCAGUGACCUUGCCGAAUUCUUGGAAAGAUGGCAACAGGAAGCUGCCAAGCAGGGCAUCCCACUGAAGGAGCAGGAGACCACAGAGAGAGUGUGCAUGCGGGGCCAGGAGGGUCCCAGGACCAUCUGCCCACCCCGGCUCAGUUACCGACGUCACUCCGGAGAAGUCUUCAACAUGAGGGUGACUUUUUUUUUUUCAUAAAUAACUUCAAGGGGUUGUAAGGGGCAGCAAGU
rnacentral:lncRNA from 1 species